AGAAUGAACGCUGGCGGCGCGCCUAAUACAUGCAAGUCGAGCGAGAAGACGUAGCAAUACGUUUGUAAAGCGGCGAACGGGUGAGGAAUACAUGGGUAACCUACCCUAGAGUGGGGAAUAACUAGCCGAAAGGUUAGCUAAUACCGCGUACGCUUCUUGGACUUCGGUUCAGGGAGGAAAGCGCUACCAAGGGUAGCGCGCUCUGGAUGGGCUCAUGUCCUAUCAGCGUUGUGGUGAGGUACGGCUCACAAGCUCGACGGUAGCGUCGGUCUGAGAGGACG
rnacentral:rRNA from 1 species